CAGGCAGUGCACAGUCAGCCUACAUUACCUGAGGACCACCAACCAGUAGAAAUCCCAUAAUGCACUCGAACGGUCUCAACACAAGCAAACGGAAGUGACAUUUACUGCACCCAAAAAGUCUUUCUCUUGCAUUCAAAUAAUGUCUGUUUUAAUGAUGAAAGUUUGUAACUUUUGAAAACAAAUACAUUUGCAGACUUUCCGCAUUUAUUUUUUAUAACACCUAAAAUGUAAUCUGAACAUAGCUAAGGCACGCAUUUUAAAAUGCCUUCUUGUGCAGCACAUCGUUGUAGUAACCGUUCUGAAGACGCUAAGACUAAAGGCCUUACAUUUCACAGAUUUCCAGCAAAUGAUCCCUAUAAAGUACGACAGUGGGUUAUUAAUAUGAGGAGGCGCAGGUGGAAGCCAUCGGAAAGAUCGGUGCUGUGCUCCAGUCACUUCGAAGAGGAGUGUUUUGACAGGAGCGGCGCGACUGUGAGGCUGAGAUGCUCCGCGGUGCCGACAAUCUUCGCUCCGUCAAUUCAAGCGAAGAAGAAGUCAUUGGUUAGAAAGAAUCCCGAAGGAUCAGCAAGCGCAUCGGAAGAGGUAACACCCAGCGUCAGUCCUCCAGCGAGCACUUCGGCGGCUGGCAGUUCGGAGGCGGCGCCCGAAGCCACUCAAUUAAGUACUCCGAAGGUUUACGAUCACAAUUACGCAGUUUUAGAGUCACCAAGGCAACUAAAACGAAAAGUGGACGUUUUGAACGAGCAGUUGGAGAUCGUCAAAAAGAAAUUCAAAUAUGAGAAGCAGAAGUCAACCAGACUGCAAUUGAAGGUGUCUCGCUUAAUAUCGCUGGUUAAAAGUCUUAAUGAUGAAGGUCUUUAUUGAUAUUUCAUGAAGGAGGUGAUGUAUAAAUUAAUAAUAUUGAUAAAUAUUUCCAGUCAACAAGCUUGGAAGUUUUGUAUUAUUGUGUAUUUGAAAUGCUGGAUGGUUGUUUUUAGCAUUUUUAGUGCCUUUAGCAACAGAAUGUUCAUGCAUUUGAGUAUUCACUGCAUAGUAUUUUUAGCAACGCCGAAAAUUCAGAAUAACUUCUUUACUUAAAAUUAUUCAUAUUGCACAACUGUGCUAUGACACAGCGAUUCUGGCUUUUUAAAUCCUGAAUGGCAUCUAUAUUGAAAUGAAAGGGUAAAUUAGUUCAAUUGAGAAAGUAAUUGGUUGAGUUAAACACCAAAGUGCUUAAGCAGAAUUAUAGUCUUUCUAUACCUUAGCCUGUCAUGGCUGAGAUUAGACACCCCUGCAGUACACUGGUGUAUUUAUGCACUAUUUCCUACUGAGUGCUGUCAGCUAUUUUCAUUCUUAAAAAUAACCUAAGAGAACUUCAAUGAAAUCGUUAGCAAACAAGUAAAAACUGAAUAACAUGCUGUGUGAAGUUUAAUCCAGCUGUGAAAUCUACUCCGUUUUAAUGUGACCCACCAUCCAUCCAUCCAUCCAUUUUCCAAACCGCUUAUCCUACUGGGUUGCGGGGGUCCGGAGCCUAUCCCGGAAGCAAUGGGCACGAGGCAGGGAACAACCCUGGAUGGGGGGCCAGCCCAUCGCAGGGCACACUCACACACCAUACACUCUCACAUGCACACCUACGGGCAAUUUAGCAACUCCAAUUAGCCUCAGCAUGUUUUUGGACUGUGGUGGGAAACCGGAGUACCCGGAGGAAACCCCACGACGACAUGGGGAGAACAUGCAAACUCCACACACAUGUGACCCAGGCGGAGACUCGAACCCGGGUGUGACCCACCAAAAAAAAAAAAAAAUUUUCAUUAAAUAAAUGUAUGAAGGGUUUGUUAUUCUUCAUUGCUUUGUUCAGAAUUGUGUAUUAAUAUAAUCAACCACCCAAUAUUUAUAUUUUAUUCCUUUAAAAUCACAAAAUUGUUGCCAUAACUCACAGUUCAAAUUCAAAGGGCCAUAAUGGUAUAACUGAGGUGUGAUUCAUGUAAUUAAUAUGGACGUGUCUCGUUUUAAAAAUUACAACCCUUUUCUGUGACUCAGUUAAUCCAGAUCAUUAUAGUAUUUAUACCUGUGGGACUGAUAUAUGUUAAAGCACAACCUUUAUAAAUCAUUUAUUAAUGCAUUGUUUCCUGUAUGUCGUAAUGUAUAAUUGUGAGAAAAAGGCCAAUCUCUCAAUAUUUUGAUGCAAAUUGAGCGAAUCAUUUUUUUUGCAGUUAUUACACUGCAAAAAAAACUGCUUAUAGUUGUAGUGUUGAAUGUGCUAAAACAGUUUCCAGCAGAUGGUGCAAGAGGCAUUAAUAUUACAUGGUGGUGCCAUGGUCGUGCAUUUAUUUCAUUUAUACACUUGUGCCGUAAAACAAAUAUCACCCUGCAUGCAAGAUGACAUGUUUUGGAGUGUAUUUGUUUCUUUGUAAAAUAAUUCAAUUGUAUUCUAUGCAGUUGUUGAAAAAGGAAAAAAUCUUUUGUUGACUGCAGUUUAUCUAGAGAAGCAUGUAUUUGCAGUAUAUUUUUAUACUAUUUGAAUAAAAAAUGACAUUA